rnacentral:lncRNA from 1 species
UGUGAAGAAUGCUGCUGUGAACAGGGGAGUACCCCUGCCCGUUUGGGUCCCUGUACCGUUUGGGAGCUCUUGGAACAGAACCAGACUUCUGGCCGGGGCUCAGUCAGUGCUUGCAAGAUGUUUGUUGGCAGCAGGAUGUGCCCGGAGAGCAUCAUUAUAAACUGCCGAUCUACUGUUUCUUUGUCAAAAGGGAGGCGAUAACGUCAGGGUCAUGAGAAAUGUUUGCAGACGGAGCGAAUGCCUUGAAAGUGCUGCGACCAGGUGCUGACACCCGCAGGUCUGGCUGCUCGAAGUGGGCCAACACGGAAGACACACGGACUUUCCCUCCAUUCCCCGAAACUCCCCUCCCUGGCUCGUCAGCUGCAUAAAAACCCUCUCUUUAUCUCUUUGUCAAGGGGAUGUAAGAAAUCUUGCUGUCUUGUCUUCUUGCUUUGGCCAAAUGGAAUAAACCUUUCUUUGUGUCCAGACACCUG